rnacentral:lncRNA from 13 species
AGUGUGCAUGCGAGCUGUCCUUCCAUUGUGCCCUUGAACAUUGGCAGAACCCACUCUCUUUUUCUAUUUGGGGUAGGCUACAUUGGAAGACUGGCAGUGGCUAGACCCAAAGCAUGAAUUGCAGUCUUUCCUUGUCCAUAUACUGCUCUAAAGUAAGGAAACAAAUAAGUGAUGUUGAACUUUCCCUUUAAAACAUAUGGACUUUUAUUUAGAAAUGCAGGCUGCAUGCUGGCUCCUCUCACCCCCCUCCACACCUACCUUGUCCCUCCUCCUCGUUACUGACCCGCCCUGCGGGUUUCCCUGUGCCACUGCGGUGAAACCAACUGUAAAAGAGGAUCUGGUUAAAAAAGUAAACAACAACCUGAAUAUCACGAGCGCCGUGUUUUGUAAUAGCGAGACCCCCAGUUUAUAUAGUUAUUUUUUCUUUUCGUUCACAUCUCCGGGUCAACCUAUUUCAUCAUCCAACCGGCAAAAUGGGAAAUGAGGCAAGUUACCCCCUGGAAAUGUGCUCGCAUUGUAAGUAUCUUUGAAUUACUAACUAACUGCCUUUGUUUGUCCGGCAUCAACAUCAGAAAAUGAAACUAUUCUCACUCCNNNNNNNNNNCAGACAUACCUAAGCUGACUCAAAGCUGAUACAGACAUACCUAAGCUGACUCAAUGCUGAUACAGACAUACCUAAGCUGACUCAAUGCUGAUACAGACAUACCUAAGCUGACUCAAUGCUGAUACAGACAUAUCUAAGCUGACUCAAUGCUGAUACAGACAUACCUAAGCUGACUGAAAGCUGAUACAGACAUCUCAAAGCUGAUACAGACAUACCUAAACUGACUCAAUGCUGAUACAGACAUAUCUAAGCUGACUCAAUGCUGAUACAGACAUACCUAAGCUGACUCAAUGCUGAUACAGACAUACCUAAACUGACUCAAUGCUGAUACAGACAUACCUAAGCUGACUCAAUGCUGAUACAGACAUACCUAAGCUGACUGAAAGCUGUAAUCUUUCCGCCAAAGGUGCUUCUACAAAGUAUUGCUUCGGGGGUGUGAAUACUUAUGUAAAUCAAUCCAUUUACAAACAUAUAUUUAAUCAAUGUUGAAUUCAGGCUGUAACACAACAAAAUGUGGAAUAAGUCAAGGGGUGUGAAUACUUUCUGAAGUUACUGUACAUGUAUAUUUAUAUUCUGGUCUUAAAUGAUUUUAAAAACAUUUUUUUUGGGGGGGGGGGGGAUAUUACUGCACUGUUGGAGCUAGAAACAUAAGAAUUUCACUGCACCUGCGAUAACAUCUGCAAUACUAUGUACGUGACCUAUGAACUUUGAUUUGAUGGCUCAGUUUGUAGAGUAUGGCGCUUGCAAUGCCAGGAUUUCGGGUUUGAUUCCGGGGACCACAUAUGUAAAAUGUAUGCACAAAUGACUUAAGUCGCUUUGGAUAAAAGCAGCUGCUAAAUGGCACGUCAUUUAUUACUCGCUAGCUUGCCUGUUGUCUUUAGCCCCGUUUUGACCUCCUAAACACUACCAGGAGAGGUUAUCCAUCUGCCCGAGUCAUCCCCGUGUUAACGAGACAGGCCAUUGCAUGAUGUGUAAAUGUGGGCCCCGUCGGGUGUCAUUUGGGUUGUAGCUGUUGCAUAUUGAUGUGCGUGUGAAGUGAGCUUUGUGGAAAUGCUAAUAUAACGAAUGAUAAGAAAUGCUCAUUUUUCAUUGUUUGUUUUUUGUUGUUGUAAAACUUUUUGCUACCGUGUGCCCUUAUGAACACGAACACAUGUUGUAGCUCUAGUCCCUGGGAGGGUUGACCUGCAAUUACUAGGAUGUGUAUUAACCUCCAUUUUGAGAUAGUAGCACUGGAAUAAGCUAGCGGUAGAUCCUCUGCAGUACAGUCUGAAAGACCUG